UACAGAGGGGGCAAGCGUUGUCCGGAUUUACUGGGCGUACAGCGCGCGCAGGCGGCCGUGUAUGUGACCGGUGACAUCCUCGGGCUCAACCCGAGGCGGCCCGGCUAGACAGCGCGGCUAGAGACAGGGAGAGGGAUGUGGAAUACCCGGUGGAGCGGUGAAAUGCGUAGAGAUCGGGUGGAACACCAGCGGCGAAGGCGGCAUCCUGGCCCUGUUCUGACGCUGAGGCGCGAUAGCGUGGGGAGCAAACGGG
rnacentral:rRNA from 1 species